rnacentral:rRNA from 1 species
UUUCCUACGGGAGGCAGCAGUGAGGAAUAUUGGUCAAUGGGCGGGAGCCUGAACCAGCCAAGUCGCGUGAGGGACGACGGUCCUAUGGAUUGUAAACCUCUUUUGUCGGGGAACAAAGGCGCCCACGGGUGGGCGGAUGAGUGUACCCGAAGAAAAAGCAUCGGCUAACUCCGUGCCAGCAGCCGCGGUAAUACGGAGGAUGCGAGCGUUAUCCGGAUUUAUUGGGUUUAAAGGGUGCGUAGGCGGAUUUUUAAGUCAGCGGUAAAUUGUCCGGGCUCAACCCGGGCCGGCCGUUGAAACUGGUG